ensembl:lncRNA
GGCGCAGCGCGCACAGCCGGUGGCCCCCGAGCGGUGUCCUCCGGGCCGGGCGGGGGCCUCGGAACGCCCGCGGAGGGGAGCAGAGCCGGGGUCCCCCAAUUCCUGUUCCCCGCGCCCCUCUCUGGCUUUGCGCCCAGCCGCGGGGUUCCCGGCCAGAGCAGGCGGCUUCCGCUCGCCGGGGCAGCAGAGACCAACUUCCAUGUCCCAUACUUGACACAAAAAUCGGAACCGUAGUAACCAACAGGUUUAAAGCAAAUACGAAGAGGUGCGCAGAGAGGAGCAGCUCUCAGGGGAAUAGCGCCUUGUUAUGUAUUCAGCACACACAUGACACAUGCAUGCUUGGAGCAAUGUUUAAGCGAGGCUUGGAGACUCCCCAGAUGACACUGCAUUUAUAUCACCUGUGGAGGAUGCUGCUGAGGAGACGCCUUCUAUGCAGUCUACAUCUUAGACCUGUGUGAGAUGAAACUGCUCCCUCUAUCACAGGUGCCUUUUGAAUCAGAUUUCCAGCAGCUUGAAAGUUCCGAGUUAUAUGAUGACAAUCAAAGGUACAUUAAAUUAAAGAAUUAGAGUGAAAAAUAAUAAAAGUCCAAGUAGUUUUUUUGUGAGUGGAAUUCCCUUUUUGCUAAAAGCGAUUGUUAUGCCAGUAAUUUUCAUAAAAACAAAAGCAAUUUAAGAAUUUCAAAUGCUUUUAUUUAUGACGUGGGGAAUAGGGAGGGAUCUGAAAUUUUUCUAUGCAUGAAUUGACAAGAAUGUUGAAGAGGCCAAAGGUUUCACUUCAGGGAGGAGGGAAGUCAGGGCUUUAUCUCUGCACACCGCAGGGGAGAAAUGUCUUCACUUUGGCCGUUGUCUUCUACAUACAAGUCCUCAAUCAGUGCUUUCAGGACUUGGCAAGUGACAUAUUUUGCUGUGUGUUUCUAUGGUUUUUCUUUUUAAAAAACGCAGAAUGCUAUUUUGUUCAUUUACAAGCAGAAAAUAAGAGUUCAGUGGACUGGAAUUGUUCAGAUGGCGUGAUUGAUGCAUGAAGCUCCUUAAUCUAUAUGUCUGCCAUCUUUCUGUAUUCCUUAGCCAGUUGUGAAUAAACAGUUUUGCAAUAUGCCUCCUUCUAUUUUUCUCAGCUGAUUUUCUUUUCAGUUUACUGCUAGCUUGGCAUAUUUUGCAAUGAUGAAUUAUCUUAAGCUUCUCUAGAGGGUACCUACUUGGACAUGCUUGUUUGCUUUUAUAAUAGAGUUGGUUUUGAUUUGAUGAAUAAGAAAUCAAUCAUAUAUGGUGUUCUGAACUUGGAGUCUUUCACUCCUCUAGAAACACAUAUUUAAUAACAGGUACUAUGUGUGUACAAGUAAGGAGUUAUUUGGUGAAGACACUAGAAACAUACAUUAUUUUCAUUUUGGUUUACAAAAUGAACAUUUAAAAUCACCGAGGAAUAAAGAAUCCUAGGUUGCUCUUAAUAUCUUAUUUGACUUACUUCGGCUAAGGAACAAGAGGUAGAUGGAGAGGUCUUGAGUUAGAAUGUAUUUGGAGUUGGUAAAGGAUUUGUCUUUUACUAUUACGGAUGAAAUUUCACCCAUUGCUCUUUGUAAGAAACUGAAGCAGCGUGAUUUGGAAUGGGUUCCUUUUGAGCACUUGUUGCGGCCAUUUAGAGCAAAAUGGUGGGAACUGUGAUGUUCCAUGUUCUUCAAGGAAGGACUUGUGGCCCCAGCUUCUGUGACUGCUGUCAACAGAUGACCAUCAAUCAUCAGGCGUUCCUGAGAUUAUCCAAUGACUGACCCAUGUCAAGAUCCAGCAUCUCAGCAUAACUUGGAUCAAUCUGUAGGAUCACCGUAGCUCUGGAGCUCCUAGUGGAAUUUGCAUUGAGCCCUCUUCUUUGGUUUGCCCAUUCCUGCCUCGUCCCUCAUCCGUCCUCUACGGACCCUAUCAGGGCAGUCUGAGGACAACUGCACGUUGAACUUCCUGUCACAGCUGGUUCGCCAGGGAAGGCAACUCGUCGUGACACUCCUUUUUCCAGUUUGAACACAUUUGUCUUUUCUUCCGUUCUUCCAUAUUUUAUCACUCUUUCCUGACUCUUAUUAGAUUUAUUGAAUUUCUUCAGCCUCUUUUCUGUCUACUGCUUUGAAUAUUAUAUAUCCAAUGUCUAUUCCUGGUGUUUGUUUUUAUAUUUUUAAUAUUCAUUUUGACUUAGAUGAAAUUAAUCAAAAUAUCCUUUCUUCUCUGGAAUUAUAUAAGGCCCUAAUGAUGGGAUGAAUCUGAUUAUUCCUCAUAUUUCACAAUGCUGUAGUUAUAUAGUUCCACCACAUUUUAUACCCCAAUGUCAAUUUUUAGGUAAUUGCCUUUUCUUUUGUUUGUUUUUACAGUCAAUGCUUACUUAAACUUACCCAUAUCUUCUAUGCCUUUUGGAUUUAAAUUCCUUCUUAUGGAAGUAGUUCUUUGGUGAGCAUGUAGAAAUGAUAAAAAUCUCCUAAUCUUUUUCUUGUUUAUUUAUUUGAAACUGUAUUUCAUCAUACCACUUGAAUAAUGGAUUAUCUCUGGGAGCAGAAUCCUAAACUGAUGAUGAUUUUAUUUUUUGCUCCUCACUUUGAAGGUGCUUCUAGCCUCUGUUGUUGAUGGUGGGAGGGUUGGUGGGUUCAUGGCUACACUUAAGACUAUGCUUUGUGGCUGGUGUUGUGCAGUUGCAUGGGGUGGCCUGCCCACAUGUGGGUUUGUUUUUAUUGUUCCUUUGUGGGAUUUCCUGUGUUUCUUUAAUCUGAUGGCUCCUGAGUUUGUUGUUAGAAAUUCGCAGGUUCGUCUCACCAUGUAUUGUCUUGUCUCCAUCUGCUCUGCUAUUUCCUCGACAUUCUUAAUUGGAUUUAUAUUGGACCUUCUUUUUAUAAUCUCUCAUGUCUAUUACAGCCGUAUUACUUUUUUAUUAAAAUAUUUUUAUGAGGCAUUUAGGUAAUUAUUCAGAACCACUUUCCAGCUAACAAAUUCUGUCUUAGUUGGUGCUCCAUCUAUUGUUAAAGUUGUCCUUUAAGCUGUGACUCAUUUCUUUGUAGAAGAACCGCUAGAUGCCUUUUCAGAAUGCCUGUUUUUCCCUCCUAGGUUUUCUAUCCUUUUUUUAUGGAUUCUAUCCUUCCUUUAUGUCUUUAAUAUUGCACCUGUGUUUAUUUUAUAACCGUUGUCAGAUUGUUCUCUUACUUGAAACUCUUCUGGGAGCUACUCAUCCUGAUGGUUGGACUCAGGUUAUUCUAGAACUAGAAAUUCUCUAUAGUGUACCGUUUCUUCCUGUGAGUUGUUAUUUGAGUUAUGAACUCACCUUUGGUUGAGUUUCUGCUUUUGCCUUUUCCAUUUGGUAAUUUUAUUUUUCCAGGCUAUUCUAUUGUGUUGUUCAGACUGGGUAAAGUCUACUGACCUGUCCUUGGGUUCACUGUGUAUCCUCUGUCACCUGUGCUGUUCAUUCAGUGUCCAUUCAUUCAGUGUUUAUUUUUGGUGACUGUGGAUUGCAGCUCUGUAAUUUCGGUUUGGCUCUUUUAUAGCUUAUACUUCUUUGCUGAGAUUUUCUAUGUUUUCAUUUGUUUCUAGAGAAUUCAUAUUUGCUUGUGGAAGCAUUUUUGGUAAUGGAUAAUUUGUAGUUCUCGUCUGGUAAUUCCAACAUCCGCUUAAUUUUCCUGCUGUUGGCAGGUGAUGGAUGGUCUUCUUUUAUUCAAGUUGUAAUCACCUCCCAGACAUUUUUGGUAUUGUGUUAGGAGGUCUUGGGUCCUAUUUAAAUUCUGCAUGUUUGCAGCUAGUUACUCUGUUUAGGUUUAGUACAUAGGCUUUGGCUUACUUUGUGGGCAGUUAUAUUUCCAGAGACUUUAGGGUGGUGUUUUAGUCUGCCUGGUUUAUUUGCUGCUUUUGGUGGAAGGAGCCUCUCCAAGUGGAGCCCAGGGUGCCUGUGGGUAGGUGAAGAAUUUUCUUGGAUUGCAGGGAUCAGGGGCACUCUUGGGCCUGGGGCAUGCUGUGGCAGGAUUCCCCUGCCAGUGCUUUGAGACCACUUAGUUUUGUUGGCUGGAUCCCCCAUUGGAUACAACGACAGAACAAACCUACCUGGACAUGUUCCGCUGUGAAUCCAGGCCUGAAGACUGUACCUGGUAAGUGCUAGUUAGGUUGGGUUGGAAGAUACCCCUACUGUUUUUCCUGUGGUCUGGGGGUCAUAAAAGGGUCCUCCACCCUGUUUCCACUGUUCUGAGUCCUCCUUUGGAAGGCUCUUGCCUUAGUUCCAGGGUUUAUAGUUGUGCUUAGAGGGAAAGCUUGUGGAGAUGAAUGUAUGCUGCCUUGACUGCAUAGGAAUUAUGUAGUUACAAAAAACCCUCUUGUUUAAUUCCUCAGCCACAUUAUCUAUGAGUAAUAAUUGAAAAUACUAGCCUUGAUUAUAUUUUCCUGUAAUGGAUAUUGGUUGUAGAAACAUAAUCCAAACAUCAGUUUAAAAAAAUCUUAUUUAAAUUAAUUAAUAUUACUGUAAUUAGAGAUUGCAAUAUCAAGUUGCACCCUAUCGGAGGAAUCUAAGAUCAAAAUCUAUGUCUGAUACUUUCUCUAGAAAACAUUUUUCUUUAAGCUGUCAUAAAUCAUUUGAAAAAUAUCAGUACUCUUUUUCUGUGUCUACCUC